AUUGCCCUAGUAACGGCGAGUGAAGCGGCAACAGCUCAAAUUUGAAAUCUGGCUCUUUUAGAGUCCGAGUUGUAAUUUGCAGAGGGCGCUUUGGCUUUGGCAGCGGUCCAAGUUCCUUGGAACAGGACGUCACAGAGGGUGAGAAUCCCGUACGUGGUCGCUAGCUAUUGCCGUGUAAAGCCCCUUCGACGAGUCGAGUUGUUUGGGAAUGCAGCUCUAAAUGGGAGGUAAAUUUCUUCUAAAGCUAAAUAUUGGCCAGAGACCGAUAGCGCACAAGUAGAGUGAUCGAAAGAUGAAAAGCACUUUGGAAAGAGAGUCAAACAGCACGUGAAAUUGUUGAAAGGGAAGCGCUUGCAGCCAGACUUGCUUGCAGUUGCUCAUCCGGGCUUUUGCCCGGUGCACUCUUCUGCAGGCAGGCCAGCAUCAGUUUGGGCGGUGGGAUAAAGGUCUCUGACACGUUCCUUCCUUCGGGUUGGCCAUAUAGGGGAGACGUCAUACCACCAGCCUGGACUGAGGUCCGCGCAUCUGCUAGGAUGCUGGCGUAAUGGCUGUAAGCGGCCCGUCUUGAAACACGGACCAAGGAGUCUAACAUCUAUGCGAGUGUUUGGGUGUCAAGCCCGAGCGCGUAAUGAAAGUGAACGGAGGUGGGAACCCGCAAGGGUGCACCAUCGACCGAUCCUGAAGUUUACGGAAGGAUUUGAGUAAGAGCAUGGCUGUUGGGACCCGAAAGAUGGUGAACUAUGCUUGAAUAGGGUGAAGCCAGAGGAAACUCUGGUGGAGGCUCGCAGCGGUUCUGACGUGCAAAUCGAUCGUCAAAUUUGGGCAUAGGGGCGAAAGACUAAUCGAACUAUCU
rnacentral:rRNA from 1 species